CUACUACUCCCUCUGUCCGAAAAUACUUGUGAUUUAAAUGGAUGUAUCUAGAUGUAUUUUAGUUCUAGACACAUCCAUUUUGAUGUUAAGUAAUUUUGGAUGGAGGGAGUAUUAU
rnacentral:pre_miRNA from 1 species